UUAAGCGACUAAGCGUACACGGUGGAUGCCCUGGCAGUCAGAGGCGAUGAAGGACGUGCUAAUCUGCGAUAAGCGUCGGUAAGGUGAUAUGAACCGUUAUAACCGGCGAUUUCCGAAUGGGGAAACCCAGUGUGAUUCGUCACACUAUCAUUAACUGAAUCCAUAGGUUAAUGAGGCGAACCGGGGGAACUGAAACAUCUAAGUACCCCGAGGAAAAGAAAUCAACCGAGAUUCCCCCAGUAGCGGCGAGCGAACGGGGAGCAGCCCAGAGCCUGAAUCAGUGUGUGUGUUAGUGGAAGCGUCUGGAAAGGCGCGCGAUACAGGGUGACAGCCCCGUACACAAAAAUGCACAUGCUGUGAGCUCGAUGAGUAGGGCGGGACACGUGGUAUCCUGUCUGAAUAUGGGGGGACCAUCCUCCAAGGCUAAAUACUCCUGACUGACCGAUAGUGAACCAGUACCGUGAGGGAAAGGCGAAAAGAACCCCGGCGAGGGGAGUGAAAAAGAACCUGAAACCGUGUACGUACAAGCAGUGGGAGCACGCUUAGGCGUGUGACUGCGUACCUUUUGUAUAAUGGGUCAGCGACUUAUAUUCUGUAGCAAGGUUAACCGAAUAGGGGAGCCGAAGGGAAACCGAGUCUUAACUGGGCGUUAAGUUGCAGGGUAUAGACCCGAAACCCGGUGAUCUAGCCAUGGGCAGGUUGAAGGUUGGGUAACACUAACUGGAGGACCGAACCGACUAAUGUUGAAAAAUUAGCGGAUGACUUGUGGCUGGGGGUGAAAGGCCAAUCAAACCGGGAGAUAGCUGGUUCUCCCCGAAAGCUAUUUAGGUAGCGCCUCGUGAAUUCAUCUCCGGGGGUAGAGCACUGUUUCGGCAAGGGGGUCAUCCCGACUUACCAACCCGAUGCAAACUGCGAAUACCGGAGAAUGUUAUCACGGGAGACACACGGCGGGUGCUAACGUCCGUCGUGAAGAGGGAAACAACCCAGACCGCCAGCUAAGGUCCCAAAGUCAUGGUUAAGUGGGAAACGAUGUGGGAAGGCCCAGACAGCCAGGAUGUUGGCUUAGAAGCAGCCAUCAUUUAAAGAAAGCGUAAUAGCUCACUGGUCGAGUCGGCCUGCGCGGAAGAUGUAACGGGGCUAAACCAUGCACCGAAGCUGCGGCAGCGACGCUUAUGCGUUGUUGGGUAGGGGAGCGUUCUGUAAGCCUGUGAAGGUGUACUGUGAGGUAUGCUGGAGGUAUCAGAAGUGCGAAUGCUGACAUAAGUAACGAUAAAGCGGGUGAAAAGCCCGCUCGCCGGAAGACCAAGGGUUCCUGUCCAACGUUAAUCGGGGCAGGGUGAGUCGACCCCUAAGGCGAGGCCGAAAGGCGUAGUCGAUGGGAAACAGGUUAAUAUUCCUGUACUUGGUGUUACUGCGAAGGGGGACGGAGAAGGCUAUGUUGGCCGGGCGACGGUUGUCCCGGUUUAAGCGUGUAGGCUGGUUUUCCAGGCAAAUCCGGAAAAUCAAGGCUGAGGCGUGAUGACGAGGCACUACGGUGCUGAAGCAACAAAUGCCCUGCUUCCAGGAAAAGCCUCUAAGCAUCAGGUAACAUCAAAUCGUACCCCAAACCGACACAGGUGGUCAGGUAGAGAAUACCAAGGCGCUUGAGAGAACUCGGGUGAAGGAACUAGGCAAAAUGGUGCCGUAACUUCGGGAGAAGGCACGCUGAUAUGUAGGUGAAGCGACUUGCUCGUGGAGCUGAAAUCAGUCGAAGAUACCAGCUGGCUGCAACUGUUUAUUAAAAACACAGCACUGUGCAAACACGAAAGUGGACGUAUACGGUGUGACGCCUGCCCGGUGCCGGAAGGUUAAUUGAUGGGGUUAGCGCAAGCGAAGCUCUUGAUCGAAGCCCCGGUAAACGGCGGCCGUAACUAUAACGGUCCUAAGGUAGCGAAAUUCCUUGUCGGGUAAGUUCCGACCUGCACGAAUGGCGUAAUGAUGGCCAGGCUGUCUCCACCCGAGACUCAGUGAAAUUGAACUCGCUGUGAAGAUGCAGUGUACCCGCGGCAAGACGGAAAGACCCCGUGAACCUUUACUAUAGCUUGACACUGAACAUUGAGCCUUGAUGUGUAGGAUAGGUGGGAGGCUUUGAAGUGUGGACGCCAGUCUGCAUGGAGCCGACCUUGAAAUACCACCCUUUAAUGUUUGAUGUUCUAACGUUGACCCGUAAUCCGGGUUGCGGACAGUGUCUGGUGGGUAGUUUGACUGGGGCGGUCUCCUCCUAAAGAGUAACGGAGGAGCACGAAGGUUGGCUAAUCCUGGUCGGACAUCAGGAGGUUAGUGCAAUGGCAUAAGCCAGCUUGACUGCGAGCGUGACGGCGCGAGCAGGUGCGAAAGCAGGUCAUAGUGAUCCGGUGGUUCUGAAUGGAAGGGCCAUCGCUCAACGGAUAAAAGGUACUCCGGGGAUAACAGGCUGAUACCGCCCAAGAGUUCAUAUCGACGGCGGUGUUUGGCACCUCGAUGUCGGCUCAUCACAUCCUGGGGCUGAAGUAGGUCCCAAGGGUAUGGCUGUUCGCCAUUUAAAGUGGUACGCGAGCUGGGUUUAGAACGUCGUGAGACAGUUCGGUCCCUAUCUGCCGUGGGCGCUGGAGAAUUGAGGGGGGCUGCUCCUAGUACGAGAGGACCGGAGUGGACGCAUCACUGGUGUUCGGGUUGUCAUGCCAAUGGCACUGCCCGGUAGCUAAAUGCGGAAGAGAUAAGUGCUGAAAGCAUCUAAGCACGAAACUUGCCCCGAGAUGAGUUCUCCCUGACUCCUUGAGAGUCCUGAAGGAACGUUGAAGACGACGACGUUGAUAGGCCGGGUGUGUAAGCGCAGCGAUGCGUUGAGCUAACCGGUACUAAUGAACCGUGAGGCUUAACCU
rnacentral:rRNA from 1 species